rnacentral:tRNA from 2 species
GCGGGCGUGGCGGAACUGGCAGACGCGCGAGAUUUAGGUUCUCGUUCCAGCGAUGGAGUGCAGGUUCGAUCCCUGUCGCCCGCA